rnacentral:rRNA from 1 species
AGACCCGAAACCCGGUGAUCUAGCCAUGGGCAGGUUGAAGGUUGGGUAACACUAACUGGAGGACCGAACCGACUAAUGUUGAAAAAUUAGCGGAUGACCUGUGGCUGGGGGUGAAAGGCCAAUCAAACCGGGAGAUAGCUGGUUCUCCCCGAAAGCUAUUUAGGUAGCGCCUCGUGAAUUCAUCUCCGGGGGUAGAGCACUGUUUCGGCUAGGGGGCCAUCCCGGCUUACCAACCCGAUGCAAACUGCGAAUACCGGAGAAUGUUAUCACGGGAGACACACGGCGGGUGCUAACGUCCGUCGUGAAGAGGGAAACAACCCAGACCGCCAGCUAAGGUCCCAAAGUCAUGGUUAAGUGGGAAACGAUGUGGGAAGGCCCAGACAGCCAGGAUGUUGGCUUAGAAGCAGCCAUCAUUUAAAGAAAGCGUAAUAGCUCACUGGUCGAGUCGGCCUGCGCGGAAGAUGUAACGGGGCUAAACCAUGCACCGAAGCUGCGGCAGCGAACGUAUCACCCAAGACAACUUUGCGGAGUUGACGAUUGACGGAGCGAAGCGACGUCAAAGCGUUCAUUAAAGUCGAGUUGGCUUAGGGAUACGUUCGUUGGGUAGGGGAGCGUUCUGUAAGCCUGUGAAGGUGGCCUGUGAGGGUUGCUGGAGGUAUCAGAAGUGCGAAUGCUGACAUAAG